CCUAAAAUGUAAUUAACAUGUUUCAUUGAAUUAAGUCUGAUUAUUGUUUGAACAGGUCGAGCUCUUGUGGAAGAAGCUAAUAACCCAAAUAAUGAUAAUGAAAUUCCUGAUCAGGGGAGAGAUUUACCAGAUGGUCCGACAGAAUCUGAUCCACUUCAUGAUAUGUUUCAUUCUGAACCAGAUCAAGUGAAGAAAAUAAAAGUAAAUCAAGGAGAAACUGUCACUCUAAAGAGUGGAGUUACUGAAAUUCAGAGAGAUGAUCGGCUACGGUGGAAAUAUGCUGAUUCCAGAGUAUCUGAAUCCACAACGUUAUAUAGUGUCAUCGCUGUAUGCGAUAAAAGGAGCGG